GGGUGGCGGGGACCGGUGGGAAAGGUAGGGUAGGGCUUCCCUUAAAGGCGACGCGCGAAAAUGCGCGUCCCCCUAUCGGGCCCGCGUCGCUGACCCUCCCUUUCUCAUUCUUAAUAAACAAAUGCCCACCGGGUGGGCGCAGCUCCCUUCCUCCCUCCUGAGAGCACCAGAGUUCGGUGCAGUCCGAGAGAGGAGGAACAAUAGGACCCUGACGUGGGGAGUCGGGCAGAGCUGCUCUUUGUCCCUUUCCGGGCCACCGACCUCCUCCGCCCCAGUUCCUGGGUUCCCUGCCUACACUCGCAGCGGGGCUGUCUUUCCACUCCUAGCUCAGGACUGUAGAACCUUGCCAGCCUUAUCUCAGGGACAGACAGAUCUCAUCCCUCUUCCCCUGGCCUGAUGGGGCGAGGGGGCCUGGGCCCUGCCCAUUUCCUGGAGCGGCUCUCGGAGCCCUGCCCCUUCGCACACGCAACCGCUAAAUCCCUGGGAUUGGAGGAAUAUCUUUGGUUCGCUAGGUGGAAACCCCUGGGAAACGCGAGGGAAGGUCUUCCACCCCGGCCAUAAAGCUGGGGUCCAGAGGCGCACAGCAACAGGGAGAACCUUCCCCCGCCCCGCAUCAUUGCGGGGCAUUCGGAUCUUCCUACAGCCUGUAAGUCCAGUCCCCAAAGCGCAUUUACGGCGCUUCUGCAGUCGGCAGGCCGAGGGAAGGGUGCGUUUUCCCUGGACCUGCAAAGAGAUAACCCACCCCAGGCUCAGGCACACCGGGGUAAACUACCCAGGGGGUAAGCUACCCAGGGCCUGGAGCGCGUGCCCGCGCAGUAGCUGACGUCCCCUUUUACAGUUACUCAGCCGUUUGCUGAACCACUGCGUGCGCCCUCUCACACCUUCCUCAGCGCGGGGCAAUUCUACCCAGACAAGACUACAGAGGUGGUGCCACGGCCCUCUGAGGGUACUUGGCAUUCUUGGGAGGAGGGAGAGUAUAACGUGAGAAGACACCGUGAGGCUGUCUGCAGCGCUAUGCAGGGAAAUCAGUUGCCUUAGAUCUUGUUUUCUGGGAGGGACUAGGACGUAGGAGCUUGGAUCCGAGCCUGAGCAACAAGGACAAAGGGUGACAGCUUCGGUGGAAGAAAAGGAAACCUUUAUCCAAGCAGUGGUUCAAACCAUCUCUACACGACUGGCCGGGAAGCUUUUCUCCAGGACCAUAACGACCUCCUGGGAGAGCUCGGGAAGGUGCUAGCAUUGGUGCUGCUGGGUGGUUUAGAAGUGGCUCGCUGCUCCCCACCCUACCCCCCUUGCUUCACAUGCUUGGUGAGAAGAGGAUCCCAGGACCGAACUAGCAUCCCAGAGCAAAAGCUCUCCAGGACAAAUGUCUGUGUCCCCCUGGAACACUCAGAGUCCAGUAUAGCCACAUAGUAAGUCUGAGGCCACCGGGGGCCCCCCCAAUGAGAUCUUGUCUGAAAAAAGCAGUCCCACACACACUGCUAGUUCAAGGGGUUCAUAUUCCUCUCCAUGCCUGCAAGCCUAAGCUCAGACCUGCUUUGGCAGCCCUAGCUGUUUGCUAAGCGAAUGAUUGACCCUUCCAUGCACGACCCAUUGAGUUUGAGGCCCUUGUUUUAAAGGGAGGAAAACCGAGUCCCAGAAAGGAAGUACAAGGUCAUUUUCAUUGCUUGUUUUACCAACCACAUAUAUACGCUCCAGUACAUAAGUACCACCAACGAGUGAAGCGAAAACACCACUCUUACAGCCUCUUGGGGCCUGAGAAAAGUUUUCCUGGGGAAGCUGAAUCCUGAAAGCUGAGGGGUGAUUGGCAGAGGUGGAUGGAUGGAGCAGCAGAGGCUGGGGCAAACCAUGGAAGAGCAGUUUCAAGGAGGCAUGUGCCUGGGCAUGGAGAGGUGGAGCUGAGUGGAGACCAUCCAUGUUAGCACCAUCCUUUGCCGGGGACUCCGAGAGGUGACAAUUACAGCAGCAAUAAUAACCAGCAUGAACGACAAGUUCCCCAUAGCUGAGUAGAUAGAUUACCCUCCCUUCGCUAGCCUUCCACACUGUAGGUACUCCAGCGCUAACUAACCAAGGCCAGGAGUAACUUGGACAGUUACCAAUGGGAAAGAGGUGUAGGAGGGAGUGGCUGGAAUCUCCGGUAGGAGGAGGGGUUAUCUAGUUACCCCACCCCUCCUCUGAGGGAAUGUCAACUGGCCCAGCCUUGAGGCUCACAGCUGCCGAGAACAGCAGUGGCUGCCAGACUCCGAGGGUAGUGUCCAGCAGCAGGGUUUGCUUGGGUGUUAAGUUCCAGGCUCCAAGUGCAGCCUUUUGAGUCCUGCUCUGUGUAUGUCUGUGACAGCUGGCAGCUGCUCCUAGCACCCAACCCUGCAGCUUCCAGAUGCUCUGCAUGCCGGGCCUCAGGUGCUACCUCAGGCCCCAAAUCUACAACCAGCAGUCCGACACACACACACACACACACACACACACACACACACACACACACGAGAUCUGAGACCCAGCUCCUCUGAAUAUUUCAUGCCGUGAGGAUGGAAUGAAAGUGGCAAAGACCUUAAUUGUUAAUGUGGCUUCUGCUGGCUCCAGGCCCAGCCCUCCCAGCCCCUCCUAUUUGAAAUAGCAACAGUGCAUCGGAUAACUUCUCCAGCACCUCAGGUCUUAUGCCCUGCCCUGUGUGAGGCUGGGCUGGAAAGAAGUUGACCCCUGACCCCCAGCUGGCCAGAGAAGUCCAUAACGUCCAGUGUUUGCUUACCAUUUGUUCCCCAGUUCUCAACAUAGAACCUUCGAACCAGGUUGGAAAAAAAAAAAAAAUUAAGGAAAGCAGAAUGGCCUGGCCUUAGAGUCUGUAUUUCUGGCCUCACACCACAGAGUGGCCCUAGGCAGUCACAGACACACCUUGUCCUCUGUGCUUCUAGAUCUGUACCUAAGCUUUGGACCAUAAGAAGGGAAACUCCAAAAAAAAAAAAAAAAAAAAAAAAAAGAAGGGAAACUCCAACCCUAGACCAUACUGUGAGACAGGCGGGUGUUGCUUGCUUAGAAAGGGGGGUGGGAUGGAAGGAGGGCAUACUGAUGAAUGUUCCAGAGCCUGGACUAGAAGGUGUGUUCAUGAAACUCUGAAAACCUACAGUGAGCUGGGUCCUCAGUCAUAAGCAGGGUCCCUCCGACAGAGACCCAACACCAGGACCAUGAUGCAGUGAAACAUUCCAUCUUGGCAUCCCAGGUUCCUAGAACCUGUGUCAGCAAAUCAAGGUACCACAGCAGCAAGGUGACAGAUCAGCCCCAGAGGUCUCAGUCCUGAAAAGCUCAUGAAAUGCAGCCCCAAAACCCUGCCCCAGACCAAUGCCACUUGAAUAUCUGGGAAUAACUCCAAUAUAGAGGACUGGGGUGCUCUAGCCAGGGAUGUUCCCUGGCGUCAGACCAAGCUGGAAGGGGACACACCCAUGUUUGGUGGAGGGAGGGGCAAGCCCUCCCUAAGUGUCUUUAGAGCAGUUCUCAACCUGUAGGUCUCGACACCUUUGGGUGUCAAAGGACCCUUUCACAGGAGUUGCCUAAGACCAUCAGAAAAUACAGAUAUUUACAUUACAAUUCAUAACAGUAGCAAGAUUACAGUUAUGCAGUAGCAACAAAAUAAUUUUCUGGUUGGGGGGUCACCACAACAUGAGGAACUGUGUUAAAGGGUCACUGCAUCGGGAAGGUUGGGAACUGCUCUAGAACACUUCGCCUAAAGAUGUUCAGAUUCCCUCAAGUGCUCCCAAAUAUGCUGCCUAGGAUGCCAGUAUCUAGUGAGAGGGGAGGGACUAGGGUUGGUAAUGUCGGCUGCCAUCUUUAUCACAUUCCCUGAUUUGUUGCUCCGUAGCCAGGGUUGUGACAUGAAAGAAAUAACCAUAUACCAAACUACCAGGGGCUCAUGGACACAGGAUCCCAGAGGAAAGGGCCAGCACAGAAGAGGAGGAGCAUCUUGGGCAUAUUGCAGAAUUUCAGAGCGUCAGGAGUGAGAAGAUCCUAGAAAUGGGGCAGGGGGGUGGGAGAUGAGAGACACAAAGGUCAAGAGUCAGAAUGACAAGACUCUCCAGCCAGCUCCAUGAACUAACUACAAGACACCAGGGUAAUGGGAUCCUCAGCUGCAGGAACCUGUUGGGUACCCAUGUGAUCAAAGGUGUGAGGGAGAGGAAGACAUUUGCACACGUGUUUAAUGUCUUUAAAAUGACUUUGAUCAAAUGCACACCUGUGUGGAGGUCAGAGGCAGGAGUAGGAUUCUCCCACAAUGUGGGUCCAGGGGAUCGAAUUUCGGUGGUCAGGCUUGGUGGCAAGUAACAUUACCCUCUUGAGUGCUCUCGCUAGCCUCGUUCUCACACACGCCAAGCUGGAGACGAGGUUCAGUUAAGUAGAGCACUUGUCUGGCAUACACAAAGCCCCUGGCUUCAGGCCCCAGUACCACAUAAAUUGACAUGGUGUUGCACACUUAAAAUCCCGGUACUCUGGAGGUGGAGACUGAAGAAUCUGAAGUGCAAGGUCAUUCUGGGCUUGUUGGGGAGGGGUGGGCAGCAAGUCAGGAGUAUACUGUUUAUUUACAAAUACUCCCAUGGAGAGCACUGAAGAAUCCAGGGGUCAGAAAAACAGCUCUGGCCCGGGAGAGGAGGGGUUUGUUUAGAACUUGCUCUGUCAACCAGGCUAUCCUCAAACUCAGAGAUCUGCUUGCCUCUGUCACUAGAAUGCUGUGACUAAAGACAUCCACCACCAUGCCAGUUUGUAUAAUUUCAUUCUUGAAACACUGAAAAUGAUUUAAAAUCAAAUGUAUAAAGCCUGGCAUUGUUUCAAGGACACUGGAAGCUGAGUGACCACAGAUCAGCCAGCUGCCUUGAAAAUGUGAGAAAAAGAUUUCCUGCUUGAAUUUGGCUCCUGGAAAGGGUCUGCCUAGUGGAAGACAGAUCAUAAGCAUUUCCAGUGAUGCAAGGUCCCAGAAAAAUAAAAAGCAAUUCUUCCAGGAAGCUUUUGGAGUGUGCAUUUCUCUAGGAGUUGAAAGUCAUGGGCAGGGGGAGCCCCUACCUGAGGCAGCAAAGGAACCCCAGAGGGUUGGAACAUGGCUUAGAGGGGCCCAGGGUGUCAGAGUAGAGCAGUUGGCAGUAACAUCAUGGGGCUUAGAUUUAAAAAAAAAAAAAAAAAAAAAAAGCCUAAAUACCGUUUAAGGGUAAGUGAAUGCAUUAGCCUCUGAGCAGAAACAAACAAUUGUAUAAGAAACUGUCCCCAGCCAUUUCGUGACUGUCAUGAAUAACUUUCCCUAAUCAUAACCCCCUGGCCAGCUGCUCACUGACACAUGGAGAAAACCCUCUGGAGAGGCAUGGGACAGGAGAGGUGAGAGGGACCAGGAGUGGGGACACCAUGGAAUGUAGAGAAUAGAAAGGCAGGGAAAAAAUUAUAGUACAUUAUAUACAAAAGUCCUUAUGCUCAUGGAUAAGCAUUAGGGAAACCAGGAAUGCUAAACACGCAGGGUUGUUGUCUUCAAAGAGAUGUAUAACCUGUUUUCCACCCAGAAGGCUGGGAAUGGAGGUGACUAAUAGCCUAGGUGACCCUUGGACUAUCUGUAGGUCUAAGCCAGACCUGGCUCCCGCAGGCUCCCACAGGCAGAACCGGAAGUAGCUAAUAGUCUAGACCUCUGCACUGUGUGACUGAGACCACGGCAGAUCCUCCCCUAGGCCCUUAUGUGUUUAUCUAUAGAACCCAUCUUCAGGGAAGAAGUGGCUUGUACUUUGAGAAGGAUUUCAAUGUAUUUAUGCCUCAUUGUGCACACGGGAUUGUGUUACACCAGGAAACAAAUUGUACAGUGCUUAAACAUGCCAAAAUAAACUGCCCGUGUCAGAACGUUUGAACCAA